GUGCUUGCUUUGGCAACAUAUAUACUAAAGUUGGAACUAUACAGAGAAGAUUAUCAUGGCCCCUGCGCAAGGAAGACAUGCAAAUUUGUGAAGCAUUCCAUAUUUUU